GUGCCAGCCGCCGCGGUAAUACGGAGGGUGCGAGCGUUAAUCGGAACUACUGGGCGUAAAGCGCAUGCAGGUGGUUUGUUAAGUCAGGUGUGAAAGCCCGGGGCUCAACCUCGGAAUUGCAUUUGAAACUGGCAGGCUAGAGUACUGUAGAGGGGGGUAGAAUUUCAGGUGUAGCGGUGAAAUGCGUAGAGAUCUGAAGGAAUACCGGUGGCGAAGGCGGCCCCCUGGACAGAUACUGACACUCAGGUGCGAAAGCGUGGGGAGCAAACAGGAUUAGAUACCCGCGUAGUCC
rnacentral:rRNA from 1 species